AUUGAACGCUGGCGGCAUGCCUUACACAUGCAAGUCGAACGGUAACAGGGAGCUUGCUCCGCUGACGAGUGGCGAACGGGUGAGUAAUGCAUCGGAACGUACCCAGUAGUGGGGGAUAACGCAGCGAAAGCUGUGCUAAUACCGCAUACGCACUGAGGUGGAAAGCAGGGGACCUUCGGGCCUUGUGCUAUUGGAGCGGCCGGUGACAGAAUAGCUAGUUGGUGGGGUAAAAGCUCACCAAGGCGACGAUCUGUAGCUGGCAUGAGAGGAUGAUCAGCCACACUGGGACUGAGACACGGCCCAGACUCCUACGGGAGGCAGCAGUGGGGAAUUUUGGACAAUGGGGGCAACCCUGAUCCAGCCAUGCCGCGUGAGUGAAGAAGGCCUUCGGGUUGUAAAGCUCUUUCGGCCGGGAAGAAAUCGCCAUCUCUAAUAUAGGUGGUGGAUGACGGUACCGGAAUAAGAAGCACCGGCUAACUACGUGCCAGCAGCCGCGGUAA
rnacentral:rRNA from 1 species